CUACGGGAGGCACCAGUGGGGAAUAUUGGACAAUGGGGGAAACCCUGAUCCAGCAAUGCCGCGUGUGUGAAGAAGGCCUGCGGGUUGUAAAGCACUUUCGGUUGGGAGGACUGCUUCUAGCACUAAUAUUGUUGGAAGUUGACGUUACCUUCAGAAGAAGCACCGGCUAACUCCGUGCCAGCAGCCGCGGUAAUACGGAGGGUGCAAGCGUUAAUCGGAACUACUGGGCGUAAAGCGCGCGUAGGCGGCUAGAUCAGUCGGGUGUGAAAGCCCCGGGCUUAACCUGGGAACUGCAUCCGAUACUGUCUAGCUUGAGUACAGGAGAGGAGAGUGGAAUUCCACAUGUAGCGGUGAAAUGCGUAGAUAUGUGGAGGAACACCAAUGGCGAAGGCAGCUCUCUGGCCUGAUACUGACGCUGAGACGCGAAAGCGUGGGGAGCAAACAGGAUUAGAUACCCCGGUAGUC
rnacentral:rRNA from 1 species